GAAACACAACAUGCUUUGACAGAAUUCAGAGGACUUUGGAGGACUUUGUCUGGAAACAAAAACUUGUGGAUUUGAAAUGUGUUACUGUAGUCCUCCUCUGACAUUACAACCUGAAUGCCUGUUGGCCCUGCUCUGCAAGGCUGAGGCUGCCUUCCACCUUUGACAUUUUGCCAUGAUCUUCCUCCUUGAAGGGAGUGCUGUAAAUGGGGAAUCCCUCAAAAUGAUCUGUCCUCAGAAUUCUCAUUUAAAUGUACUAGGUACUAAUUACUUUAACUUCAAGGAAAAGAGAAGAUUACCUCCUGUAAACUUUCUCAUACAAAAUAAUCUGUCCUCCUGUGAUGCUGGUUACUUGAAAAUGUCUGUUUGCUUGAGAAAAGGUUUGUCAAAUCAGAAAGUUCUCCAAGACUGUAGUUACUGAAGUGGUUCCCAUGUGUUCAGUUUUUGACUGAUCCAUAGCCUGGGCUUGGCUUACAGGUUCUACAGUGACACAAAUGGCACAUGAUAAUUGUGUGUGGAGAAAGGCUGGCAGCUUUACAGAGGAAAUUUCUGGACCUGUGCAUAAAUUCAGAACAAGCAACUGCCUGUAGCUUCCCUUCCCCCAAACAACUGAAUCUUUUUACUGAGUCUCAUUAAAUGGUCCUAUGUGUGGGACAUGAAAUGUAUUUAUGGUAGAGUAAGUUUUGUUCUGAGUCACUGGUGCAUCACGAGUUUCUUCACAAUGUUCUUGUGGCUGCCUGCUCAGUGAGACCGACCCAUGAGAGACACAGACCCUGUGGGAGCAGUCCCUGAACCCCACCUGGCUGAGAUGUGAGGGUGCCUAAUUCCUGUAGAA
rnacentral:lncRNA from 1 species